UUAGAAACACAUAUUUUUAAAUUUAAACAAACAAACACUAAAUGUUGUUCUUAUUCUAUUACAUUAUGAUGGUCCGCAUUUGCAACUUUUUGUACGAUAUUCUCAUUUUCUCUUUUUGAUGCACUCUAAUAGCUGGGAUCAUGGUUGAUGGUUGAGACAUAUUACUAUACAGAAAAACCAAUAUUUGGUUAUAUAAUUUUGUUACAUGCAAUUUACAUUUUAACAUUAGGUACCAAAAAGCAUAGGUAGAGUAAUAAAACUAUUAGAUGAGAAUUUCUCCACCAUGCGGUUAUGGCAUGUGGCAUGUGGUCAACUACUCUCAACUAUUUAUGCAUUGUAUUUUGUUGAAGUCCUUCCUGGAUGUAUACCACUUUAUUAUAAUCUAUAGAAAGUUUGGUUAAUUGUUGUCUUCUUCUAUUGUUUUAUGAGUAAGAUUUGCAUUUGCAACUUUUUAUAAGAUGUUUCAUUUUCUCUUUUUGAUGCAUCCGUGAUGGUCUAAUCAGGCUUAAUAAUUGCGACUUGCAAGGCAUAUUACAGAACAUAUGGACUAAUAUUUAAUUACGUAGUUUUUAUCAUCACUUGCAGGUUAAAUUUGAACAUGUGCAAAAAAUCAUAGAUAGUUUGUUGGUGAUUUAAUGACAUUUAGUUACAAAUAUGCAUCCUCUUAGUUAAAAAUUAUGGAAAACUGAUUUUUUAUUUUUCAAUAAUUUAGAAGAUGAUGUGUUCGGUCUUGGCAAUUAUUUUUUUUGUUUGCUCUAUAUAGUUAUUUAGAACCUUGUUACAAGGUUCUUAUGAAAUUGAUACUUUGAGAAAAAGUACUUCAUUUCAAAUCUAAAUUAGGAGCCCUAUAGAGUGAUUGAUUAUUUGAUUUUGUGUACAACAGUUGUUGAAAUAUUACCUUACAUUUCAGAGUCUCUUAUUAAUAUCUAUUCUGUUACUCAACUGUUCAAUGGACAAUUGCAUGUUUUUUGGUGAGUUAGACUUCAUAGUUCUUAGAAAUAGGGCAGCUUGAUUAGUUUCUUUUGAGGUAUUUAUAUGUGGAAUAUUUGGAAUUCAAUUUGCAAUUAGAAUGGAUUUGGCUGGCUCUGAUCUUAAUAGUGACAGCCAUAAAAUAUGCUGAAAAAUGCAUAUAAGACGGAGUAUCAUUGACUAAAAAAUGGCCAGCUACAUUUUGUUUCGUACUGUUGCUGGUCCAGAAUGCAUAGAAAUUUGUUGUUUAUGGCUGUAGAAAAAGAUCACAGAGCAAAGUAGAACAAAAAUUAUUUUUUUGAUUGGAUUGUGUCUUGUUGAUUGUGAAAAUCAACCACUAUAAUCUCAAGGUGUUUUGGAAGUAUUUAAAUCUAAAAGCUAAAGAUAUUAGCACUUAUUUGUGGCUUUCAAUGACUUUUUCUUGUUUGAUGUGAUGCCAAAGACAUUGCCCACUACAAAUCUAUCUUGUUUUGGCUUCAUGUGGAUGGAGAUUGUUCUAAAAAAACAAUUAGGAAACCUGGUAUUGGGAGAUUUCCAGCAACAAAGUUUAGCUUGGUUUUUGGUUGAUAUAUAAAAGCUCAAAGUUUCCAGCAACAGUUAGAAAAACUUUUUCUCCCUACUUAACUAUUGUUUCUUGCUAGCUAGCCAAUUCUCAUGUAUGUGAGGGACACUCGAUGUAGGUUAUUUCAAAAAAAUUAUAGUUGGGAGAUUUCUGUGGAAGAAAACUGUCAGAUGCACCCACCAGAGAUUGACUUUUAAGUUUGGUAAACAAAUGGUAAUAUGUUUUUAUAUUUCAUUGGUUAUAAGUUUGGUUACAUAUGUUGACUUUUAAUUUUGUUAAAUGUAGGACAUAUCUGAUAAAAAUGCAGCAAACCGUGAAAAGUUAUUGAUCCCACAUACUCUAGGAUCAAAGACAUUAGCAAGAAAAAAGGGAUGAGUUGGAAGUGCAAUAUGGACGACAUUAUAAUAGAGGAGAUAUGUAUCCUAUUGCUCAUAAAAAGAAGGAUGGAUCAUUUGUGAGCGAAAAUGCUACACAAAAAUAUGAACAAUUGCAUAAUGAAAUUCAGGAGUCUUCUUCUGAGAAUGAGGCAUUCUUGAAAGUAUUUGGAAAGGAGCAUCCCGGAUAUGUCUGAGGCAUGGGACUUGGGGUUACUCCGACUCAAAUCAUUGGAUCAUAUUCUUCCUCUACGAGGUCUGGAUCUUCAUCAGAUGCGGCCACGAUAGCACAAUUGCGAUCUGAAGUUGAAGCGCUUAAGGCACGAGUUGGUGAAGUUGAUGUUUUGAAGAAUUAGCUUUCCUUAUGCAAAUUGUUAAAGGAAAUCAGGCAGCUGAAUUGGAAUCUCCAGCAAAUUUGAGACGUUCUUCUAAGUCUAGCCAUGUUCCUGAAGACAAUGGAGGAUCAUCAUGAGGGAAUAUUUAGAGAUUUGCUUCAUUUUUAGUUUGUUGGGAGCUUUUAGGACCAUCUUUAUAUUUUCGUUGUUUUUAUGUACCUAAGUUUCGUAAACUUAAAGACCAUUUUUAUGUUUGAGAUGCAAAUCUAUUAUGUAUUAAAUUUCGAUU